GAUGAAGAACGCAGCGAAAUGCGAUACGUAAUGUGAAUUGCAGAAUUCAGUGAAUCAUCGAGUCUUUGAACGCACAUUGCGCCCCCUGGUAUUCCGGGGGGCAUGCCUGUCCGAGCGUCAUUGCUGCCCUCAAGCACGGCUUGUGUGUUGGGCCUCCGUCCUCCUCCCGGGGGACGGGCCCGAAAGGCAGCGGCGGCACCGCGUCCGGUCCUCGAGCGUAUGGGGCUUCGUCACCCGCUCUUGUAGGCCCGGCCGGCGCUUGCCGACACAUCAAUCUUUUUUCCAGGUUGACCUCGGAUCAGGUAGGGAUACCCGCUGAACUUAAGCAUAACAAUAAGCGGAGGA
rnacentral:misc_RNA from 1 species